GACGUAGGUGGCGAGCGUUGUUCGGAAUCACUGGGCAUAAAGCACACGUAGGCGGCCAUGUCAGUCGGGUGUGAAAGCCCUCAACUCAACCGAGGAACUGCGUCCGAUACUGCAUGACUUAAGGUCCAGAGGGGAGAGUGGAAUUCCCAGUGGAGCGGUGAAAUGCAUAGAGAUCGGGAAGAACGCCAGCGGCAAAAGCGACUCUCUGGUCGGAUCCUGACGCUGAGGUGCGAAAGCUAGGGAAGCAAACGGG
rnacentral:rRNA from 1 species